AGAUGGCACGAGAGUGGGGCGGGUGAGGGUGGGGCAGAUGAGGGUGGGACUGUACUAAGGAUCCAGCGGCUGCUCUGGGGCCUCCUGCCUGGUUACUGCACACUGACGGUCACUGCUGCACUACGGGCAAGAGCCAGGGAUUGUACAUUGUGACACCAAGAAGACUCCUGUUGGUUCAGGGGGAGGCAGCGGUAGCCAGCCUGAGACGAAUAUUACUGUUUCUCUCAUAUGAAGAAUCUGGACUUCUUAAAUCAUAAAUAUAUGUGGCAUGUCAGUAGACGAGGGUGAAGACCUGUGGCGGGGAAAAGGACAGACACGAGAAGGUCUACCCUCCUACCCUUGUGCCCUCCCUGCAAAAAGAAAAAAUACAACAAGACCAAUUUGUGUUGCCAAUAUACUCACUGGAGUAUGGUCAAGCUCCCAGUGGCCAGCCACUUAAAGUCCACAGUCAUAGAUACCACUGCAAAAGAAGCUUCCUAGUCCAUAGAAGCCGGCAGCUGCACAGAUCAUGGACUUCCACAUGGUUUCCUGCGGCAGCAUAGACCACAGACAACAGCCUCUGUAAGCAGCUGGGAACACUGACCUCAACACGUGGCAGCAUGGAGCAGCAUAGACAGCAUACAGCAUGGACCCCAGAUACCAACAUGGCCUCCAUCGGCAGCACAGACCAUGGAUAUGCACGUGACCUUCAACAGCAUCACAAACCAUGGAUAUUAGCAUGAAUCAUGGACACCAACAUGGCUGUGGUGGCAUCACCAACCUUAAAGGCUUUUUGAGGAGGCUUUUAGAGUUGUCCCCAUCUUGGACAUGCCUGCAUUGCUUAGUCAGGAUGAUCAUGUGGCUUGGCAGUGAGUUCAGGGGUGGAGCCUGAGUAAGCUCCAGGCUGCUGUUGCACACCACCCUGCUGUCCUUACUUGACAUACUGCUCCCCCACCCCUCACCCCAGUUCUUCACAGCUGCACUCCUACACUUGUCACUGCCCUGCCCACCCACCGCCAGCUGCCUAUCCCUUGUUCUGCCUCUCCCCACCUCAGGCAAGCACUGCUCCUCUCAGCUCAGCCUCUCUAGCUCCCAUUUAUUCAUUCAAGGUGUCAUUACAAACUGCAGUGUGUCACACAAUGUGUGUGUGUGUGUGUGUGUGUGUGUGUGUGUGUGUGUGUGUGUGUGUGUGUGUGUUGGCCCAAACAGCUUUACAUGAAAAUACUGAUUACAAUGAGUCAUUGGCCUGGUGCAAGGUUUCUGGUUCCCGAAACACCACAAGUACUGGAUAUGGCUAAGACUCUACUCAGAUACCCUAUUGUUGCCCAGAGUGAGGUUGAUCUUGAGUAGGACAUCUGGGAGCGUCCGAUUCACUCCAGGCCGCUGCACAACUCUCUGCCUUCCGUGACUCUGCACACUCCUCCUCAGGCACGGCGUCUCUCCUCAGAGCCUCCAUGGGUCUCUCAGGCCCCGCAGAGCUGCUCCCUGGUCCUGUGAACGCUGGAAUCUCUUCCUGGACUGGAACUCACCAAGAAUAGGCUGGGUGGACAGUGAGCUCCCGGGAUCAGCAUGUCAUUGCCUCCGAAGGCUGAGAUUACAAGUACCACCACCCUUAGCUUUGGGGUGUUAAGAUUUGAGGCAGGAUCUCAGUUCGUAGCCCUGGCUGUCCUUGAACCCAGGGGCUUCCUGACUCUGCUAGGAUUAUAAGCAAGUGCUGCCAUGCCUGACUCUGAUCUUUGUACAGAUUAAGAAAUUG
rnacentral:sRNA from 1 species